GGCAAUCACCUCACCUGUGUCGCUCACCUAUCGCGUUGAACUCUUUUAGCCUUGGCGUUCAUUCCGGACUUUUAUUGGCGCACUGCCGAUGAAUGGUCUAAGUGGAGAGGCGGAGCCGGCGGACCCGACGGGCCGACGGCGGGGCGGGACACCGUUUGGCCCUGGUCAAGAUGGCGGCCAGGAGGUGGAGAAUGCAGCGAAACGAAGAGGAGGGGCUUGCUGGGAGCGACGCAGCCACAAUCUAAAUCAGCUCAGCAGAAGCAGACGAACAUGAAAGAUCCGAGAAUGAGCCCCAGAGGAAGACGACGACACCGGCAGCUGAAAAGCAGCCCGAGACGAGCAGCGGAGGAGGAG